AGUCGCACGAGAAUCCGCCUUCGGGCGGGAGGACAGUGGCGCAAGGGUGAGUAACACGUGAGCAUCUGCCCCCGGGUCGGGGACAGCCCGCGGAAACGCGGAUUAAUCCCCGACGGUCCCUUCGGGGCAAAGAGGAAUCGCCCGGGGAUGAGCUCGCGUCCCAUCAGCUUGUUGGCGGGGUAACGGCCCGCCAAGGCGACGACGGGUAGGUGGUCUGAGAGGAUGGUCACCCACACUGGGACUGAGACACUGCCCAGACUCCUACGGGAGGCUGCAGUCGAGAAUCAUCCGCAAUGGGCGACAGCCUGACGGUGCUAUGCCGCGUGGGGGAUGAAGGCCCUCGGGUCGUAGACCCCUGUCAGAAGGGACGACGAAGGUGACGGUACCUUCAGAGGAAGCCACGGCUAGCUACGUGCCAGCAGCCGCGGCUUCACGUAGGUGGCGAGCGUGAUUCGGAUUCACUGGGCGUACCGGGUCCGCAGGGGGUUUGCCAAGUCCGGUGUGAAAGUCCGGGGCUCAACCCCGGAACGGCGCCGGAUACUGG
rnacentral:rRNA from 1 species